rnacentral:lncRNA from 1 species
AUAAUGAAGAUCUCUAAGCCCAGUUGAAGAAGGAGUCAAUAGAAGCAUUGGAGGAGGAAGAAGAUUUGCAAUUAGAAUGAAAAUUGAUGGAAUCAAUAAUAGAUAAUACAGCAAUUGAUCAAUUGGGUGGACCAAAGAAGAUAGUAAUUUUGUAGAGUUUUAUAAAGUAGUUUUUAAAUAAGUAUCAAUUGUUUGUUUGCAAGGAUGCUGUAUAGACAGGAAUGGGGCUAUGUAGAAUAGAUAUUAAUUUUUUUUUGAAAGAUAUUGAUAAAAUAUACUAAUAGUCCAUAAAAUAGGUAAUUCAAGAGGAUGUAUGAUUGAGUUAAUUAUUAAAAGCGAUUAAUUACAGAAUUAUGGUUAAAAUGUAAAAAAUUAGGAAAAAAUAUAAAGGAGUUGUAGAAGUUAGUUUAAGGGCCAAGUCGUGAUAGUCAUGAGUCGGAGUGAGCUUGGUGCUACUUCUUUCUUUGUUUAUUUCUUAGAUUUUUUUUUCUUUGUAGAAAAAGAGUUAUGAAUAGUUUUUCAAAAAUAUAAAGUAAUUUUUUGGAAUGAAAAGAGAUUUGAUAUUGUCAAAAGAAAAAUUUGAUUUAUUAAAUGUUGAGUUAUAUAGUGGUGAAUUAAAAGUGAAUAAUUGGAAAUAUUUGUGAAGAAUGGAUAUGAAUGAAAAGAUUAUAAUAUAUUGAGUAUUAGAAAUUGAGAGUGAUUCAUGAGAAGGAGUUUGUAGAGUCUAAAAUUCUGUGAAGAAGUAAGUUGAGAAGUACCAUUAGGAGUGAAGGAUUUCAAUGUUUAGAUUAUGGAAUGAUUAUGUAGUGUCUUUUAGGAUAGUGCAGGGUUACACAUUGUUGUUAUCAGUGAUGGCAGAGUACUAUUAAGAAGUGAAAAAUAUUGUAGUGUUCUUUGGUAUUUUCAAUGGUUCAGAGUAGGAUUAAUUGUGUAAUCCUAAUAAGUAGAACUCAUGCACUUAGUCUUUCCUUGCAUUCGAAUUCCCUUCUAUAG